AACGAACGCUGGCGGCAGGCUUAACACAUGCAAGUCGAACGCCCCGCAAGGGGAGUGGCGGACGGGUGAGUAACGCGUGGGAACAUACCCUUUCCUGCAGAAUACCUCCGGGAAACUGGAAUUAAUACCGCAUACGCCCUACGAGGGGAAGAUUUAUCGGGGAAGGAUUGGGCCGCGUUGGAUUAGCUGGUUGGUGGGGUAAAGGCAUACCAAGGCGACGAUCCAUAGCUGGGCUGAGAGGAUGAUAAGCCACAUGGGGACUGGGACACGGCCUAAACUCCUACGGGAGGCAGCAGUGGGUAAUAUUGGACGAUGGGCGCAAGCGUGAUCAAGCCAUGCCGCGUAAGUGAUGAAGGCCUUAGGGUUGUAAAGCUCUUUCACCGAUGAAGAUAAUGACGGUAGUCGGAGAAGAAGCCCCGGCUAACUUCGUG
rnacentral:rRNA from 1 species